GAACAGCUCCAGCAUCACUGGUGUGGAACAAAACACUGGGCAUUGCCAACUGCUGUCCUGACCCUAUACUUGCCUCAUGGCCUCUGCCAACAAACCCAAGAAAGGAAGAGAGAAGCCACAAUGCACCAUGUUGAUGUGACAGGCAGCUUCAGAUGGAUACAGAUGCUACUAUGAACAUGAAGCCGCUCCGUCAGGUUAGCUCAGUUACAUAUAUAGAUAGAUG